rnacentral:tRNA from 1 species
UCCCUAGUAGCCCAGAUGGUAAAGCAUCUGCCUGCAGUGCCGGAGACCCAGGUUCAAUUCCUUGUUAGCGAA